AGGCCGGGCCAGGAGGUCUGUCUUUCUUCUUUCAAUUGGGUUGCUGGAUGGGAAAAGCCAUGAAUGCCGCUUACUGGAGCAGAGCCCCAAAAUGGCUUGUGAAAUUGCAGGUUGGCUCUCUUGCCUUACUCCAGUGGGACCAGAACAGGUGACCUGAGCAAUGGUGAAAUGUCCUGAUGGUGUGCUUUAAACAGAGGAACAAGAAAACGAAAUGGAGUUGGAUGUUUGUCUUCACAUGGAGAUCUGUAGAAGUAUGUUUGGAAGACAGGUGUCAUCCAGAGACUUCAGUACUGGAAUGGAGCCCUUAUCGUAUUACACCUGAGAAGGCUAGUUGCUGAUCCCACCAAAGAUGAGUGGCAGUGUUUGAUGAGCUUCCAUUCUUCUUUGUCCAAGAAGAAGAAGAAGACUGGACAGUUGUAGGGACAACCUCUUCAGGCCUGCAGAAUUGCCUUGCAUUUGUCAAAGUGUUGAAGAAAGAGUCACUGGCAAAGAAGUUCCUGAGAUUGGUCAGCAUUACUGAGCCAUUAUUGAAAUGGAUAUGUUUUGUAAUAGUGUGGAAUUAAAGGACUUUUGUGAGAA